ensembl:lncRNA
ACACUAUUAGAAAACUGAAGUUCAUAUAGAACUGAGUAUCACAUGGUUCAGCACCCGCCUUUUCCCACUGCUGACUGGGACCCCAGGGGAGUGAAGAGAAGACAGAAUUGCUGGGUGGAAGACAAAACCUUAUUAACAGCUGUUCUAAAAGGGAGGAAAAAUAAUUAUGAAAGUACACCAGAAGAUCCUUACAGAGUAUUUUUUGGUAAAAUAGGUCCAUGUUUCAAAACCCUCACAAGUGAUAGUAACUGGACAGCAAACGAAUCUCUUUAAAAAGCAGUGUGGCUAUAGACUCUGAGGACAGAGUUACGAGGGAGGCAUUUCCCUGCAGAAAAGGGAACCAGAGAUUUGUUAGGUGCCUCAAUCUAGUUUUGAGUACUUAUUUGUUCGUUUGGCUGUGUCCAUUGAUUAUUCUGUUGAGAAUCUAGAGUGUCUAGCUGCCCUGAUGAGAAAGAUGAAGUAAUUGAAGUCCUGCUACCACAGAACCUAAACAGAAAACUUCAUCAAUGCCCGCACAUGCAAGGUAGGAAAGUCCUAAUUCUUUUAUUUUUAUUUAUUUAUUUUUUGUCUUUUUUUGCUGUUUCUUGGGCCGCUCCUGCGGCAUAUGGAGGUUCCCAGACUAGGGGUCGAAUCGGAGCUGUAGCCACCGGCCUACGCCAGAGCCACAGCAACGCGGGAUCCGAGCCACAUCUGCAACCUACACCACAGCUCAUGGCAACGCCGGAUCGUUAACCCACUGAGCAAGGGCAGGGACCGAACCCGCAACCUCAUGGUUCCUAGUCAGAUUCGUUAACCACUGCGCCACGACGGGAAUUCCAGGAAAAUCCUAAUUCUAAGGACUAGCUCUAGCCAGCCAAACAAAAAACAGAUCUGCAGAGGUGGGGACUUAUUAUGUCUCCAUUGGUCUUGGGAGAAAUAUGUGCAGAGACAUGAUUUCUAUCUCUUUGAGUACGUAUUUACGAUAUAAUUUCCAGAAAAGGAAUCCCAGUAUUUGGAAGAACUUCAUUUGGCAACAGAAGACCUAUUUCUGGUACAUAAUCAUGUGAGGUUUUUUUUUUUUUUUGCUUUUUAGGACCACACCCAUGGCAUAUGGAAGUUUCCCGGCUAGGGGUCAAAUCAGAGCUGUAGCUGCUGGCCUACACCACAGCCAUAGCAAUGCGGAAUCCAAGCUGCAUGUGUGACCUACACCACUGGAUCCUUAAUCCACUGAGUGAGGCCCGGGAUUGAACCUGAAUCCUCAUGGAUACUAGUUAGGUUUGUAAUCUGCUGAGCCACAAUGGGAACUCCCAGAUGAACUUUGUAUGAAAUUUUUUUUUAAUUGAAAAAACUGGCAUUUAAAGUUUUAAUCUCCAUGAAGAUACUAGUCAGGCCCAGGUUUGUAACAAAAAUGUCUUUGCAUGAAGAUGCGAGUCUAUCCCUGGUCUUGCUCGGUGGGUUAAGGAUCCGGCUUUGCCGUGAGCUGUGGUGUAGGUUGCAGAUGCAGCUUGGAUCCUGUGUUGCUGUGGCUGUGGUGUAGGCCAGCAGCAGCACUUCCAAUUCAAUCCCUACCUAGCCUGGGAAUCUCCAUAUGCCACAAGUGUGUUUCUAAAACACACACAAAGAAAGUAUUAAUAUUUGCUUUCCUUCUGGAAAGUUCUAGUUUCAAGAUUAAUUAUAUCUAAAUGAAAAUGUAGAUCUACUAACAUAUAGAUUCUUAGAAUCUGAAAGGAUGAGAGCUACACUUUUCCUAGACUACUUUUGCUGCCAUUAAAAAAAAGUUUUGGUAAAGGAAUUACAAUGUCAGUUAAGAUAAAAUGAGUUAACCUUAUUAAAGUUGAUAGAGAGUAGGGAAAAUAUAACCAAUGUAGGCUUAAAAAAGAUGAAUUUUUUUUUUUUUUUUUUUUUUUUUUUUUUUUUUUGUCUUUUUGCCUUUUCUAGGGCCGUUCCCGCGGCAUAUGGAGGCUCCCAGGCUAGGGGUCCAGUCGGAGCUGUAGCCACCUGCCUACGCCAGAGCCACAGCAACGCGGGAUCUGAGCCGCAUCUGCAGCCUUCACCACAGCUCACGGCAACGCCGGAUCCUUAACCCACUGAGCAAGGGCAGGGAUCGAACGCGCAACCUCAUGGUUCCUAGUCGUAUUUGUUAACCACUGCGCCAUGAGGGGAACUCCUAAUUUAUUUAUUUUUUUUAGAUGAAAAUAAUUCUAUUUUACAGCAAGAUAAAACCACACUGCCAUAUUUCAUAUUUUAUUCAAUUUUAAUAUGGUUUCCAUUAUUAACUUUUAAAACAAAAUGAUUUCCAGUUUAAAAAACAAUGCACUGACCACAUAAUUCCUUUUUUAUUUUAUACAGUUAUACAAAUAUUCUAAAUACACAUUUUGUGUUCAAGAUGAUGGCAAAUAAGAUUAACUGUACAGUACGUAAGGAAAGAAAAUAUUUUAAGCAUAUUUAGAAGCAAUAGAAAUGUCUAUACAAAACAAGCAAAAAUGGAAUAAAAUUUUUUAUUUUUAAAGUAUUGCAACAGGCCCACAGGUUUGUAACAAAAAUGUCUUUGCACAGUUCCUCACAAUGCCCCAUUAAUAGCUAAAGCAAGACAGCGGUUUUAGAAAAUAAUGUUUCAAAAUGCUACACAUGGUACUAUUGUUUGCACAGUUUGAUCAAAAUAACAACUCUACUCUGAGUCAAGCAAAACCUAGAGGAUAUAUAUACCAAACAACUUGAAAAUCAUUUGUAUAAAAUUCAUUGCACAUUAUUUUUACUCAGUUGUUUGAAAAGUAAAAAAGUGUAUUUACAAAAUAUUUCGCAGUCAAAAUUAUAAAGUGAAUGAAUAUCUCUAACACGUCUUGAUAACAGACAUUUCAAGGAAAACACGAAUGGUUUUUUUAAAAGAGGUUUUCAGUGCUCCUUCCACAGGGAAGUAAAUAUGAUCUACUCAAAUGGAUUUACAAGAUGUUACACAUACUGGAGCAAAUUCUAGACACCUGCAUUAUAAAACAAUGUUAAAAAGGUGAAAGGAUGAGAAAUUUGUACAUUGUAAGAAAUGAGCUAUUCAGAGAUCAACAAGUACAAUUUUUAAUUCAGUUAGCAUAAAAGUCUUCAUAGUCUCCAGAUAACAGACAGACAAUGAACAUACUUGACUUGAUGAAAGUUGAAAAAGCACCAUGCACAACAGUUUAGUGGUAAACACUGAAAAAAAUAGCACCUGG